UUCAUCUUGAUAGUGAAUAACUUUGAAAACACUAUAUGCUAUUUCCAGAAACUAGUCUCGAAUUUUCAUACGCCAUAGACGGCCUGCUCCUCAGCCCAUUGACUUAAUUUACUAUGAUACACUUCCUAGAUUUAUUGAAAGGGUUUGUUUGCUUGGCAUAAAUAUUCAUUUAGUAUGCUACUCGCAAAAACUUCAAUUUUAAAGCCGCUUUGAAGAAUAAGUUAUUGCUGGUGGAAAAAGCUAUCCUAGAGCAUCUGAAAACUACCACUAACAUGAACAGAAUGUAAAGCAAAUAGUACAAAAACAGAUAUUGAGCUGUGCAGUAAACACAUAAAAAAAACAUUACUUGAAUGGAAUGUUUUUACUUAUAUAUGGCACAUAUAACAAGAGUUGGAUAAAAGGAUUAAUACAUAACGUUAAGACAUUUAAAAAAAAAAAAGAAAAAAAACCUCACAAAACUUAAUAUUCGUAAGAAUUUUUUUGUAAUCAUGACAAGGAGCCGCGUUCUUUUGAAAGUGGUUCAGUAAAAAGCAUCGUUUGGUUGUUAAUGGGAUAAGGAUUCGUACGUGCCGAAAUUCGAUUGUGAUUUCCAUUUAAUGAAGAAUAAUGACAGAAUCGAUUUCCCGAAGUACGCAUUGGUAAAGAAGCAGAUGAAGGUAUGAUAGGAACAGAUCCUCGACGCAUAUUCGAGAGUGGAGGAAUUGGAACCUUGGGUAAACGACCACCAGAAGCGUGGUUUUCAGCAGCUAAAGGAUUUUUACCUUUCGCAGUGGCGGCAUAGUGGUCAUAAUGACCUCCAUGCGGAGUCGACAUAGCGGAAUAAGCGCUUGACUGAAUGGCAUUGCCCAUACUCUCCAUUGACACGGCCUGUUGAGCAUAAAGCGGGUUUUGAGAGGCCAGUUCUGAGUUUGAAUUAGUUACAUGAUAACCCAUAUUCUGGUUCCAAGAGGUGGAUAAGUUUUUUGGGAUAGAAUUGGAAAUAAAAGAGUAAUUUUCAUUGACAUCGGGUUGCGUGUCAGACGUUAAAAAUUGUUUGGAAGCAGCAAGAGACAUGUUAUAGGAAGAUUGGUCAAUUGAAUCAGUGUUAGAAGACGGCUGUUUUGGCUGCAAAUACUGUGAUUUUUGGUCGACAUAAGGACCUUCUCCGUAAUCGAACAGAGCUUGAGAUGGUGAUGUGAAUUGAAUUAAAUUCAAAUUAACAAAUGAAUUAUUAGCAUUGGGAUUCACAGGGUUAAAGGCUAAUCCGGAUGGAUUAUAAACAUCAUUCAUAUACUGUGGAAGAGUCUGUAAAAAGUUUGGGUAGGAAUGACGAGCAGCCAUCUUUAUCGGAGGCUGCUCAAUAUUUUCAUUUAAGGCAUUGUUUGAAAUUGACUGCAAAGCCGAAAAUUGCUGCUGUUGUUGAAAAGAUGAAAGAUUAGACUGAUUCCUAGAUAUUGCAGAAGAGAGAGAAGAGGACUCUACACCAGAAAUCGGAGAGGUAGAAAGAGUAAGACCCUGAAAAUGGUAAGGAUCAAUCUCAGCAGUGGAGGAAGAGAAGAAAGGGUUAUAAGGAAAAGACGGAAGAGUUCGCUUUUCUAGCGUACUCAAUUGAGAAAUCUUUUCAGAUUCCGCAGCCUCAACCAAAGGAGGAAUACGGAAGCUUUUGUACUCUAAUAGAUCUUUUGAAAUGGUUAACUGUUGAAACAAAUUGAACGAGCUGGGCGUUUGAAGUUUCCCAUUGAGCACGUCUUCUGGGGUAUAAUAAGAUAUGAGAUGGUGAAGCCGACCAUCAAUCAUUAAAGAGAUAGUUUUUUUAAUCAGGCCACUCUUUUUAAAACCGUAAGAGUCGGUGAGUGAGCCCACCAAGGCUCUUUCGGUAUCAUGGAGAUAGGAAAGGGAAGAGGAGGAACAGUAAUGGAUGGAUGAAGUGGAAGAAAUGGAUUCACGCCUGGUCUGAGGGGCCCUGGGAUUUAUGGGCGCGGAAGAAGUGGAAGCAUUGGAAACAUUGGUGGUGGAUGGAGAUGAGGACGGGGGAGACUUGGGGACAAAGGGGGUACCAGUCGGUUUGGAGGAAACAAGGGGCAACGAAGAAAAGGAAGACGGGAACGCAGCACUUGUGGUGGGACUAGUAGGGGAAAGCACAUAUUCAUUUUUAACAGCGGCAAAUUCGGAUUUGAUGUCAUUGGAGCCAGGGGAGGAAGGAUUCUGCUGAGAAGAGGCAGAAAAAGAAGAACCUGGAAAAAGGUUGUCACUAAGCGAAGGAGCAGACGGAGAACUAAUAUUGACGUGGGAAGCAACGUCAACGUCGACAGGAACAGAAACGGUAAAAGCGGAAACCUCCUCUUCGUCGCUGUCGGAGCGAGACUUUGAGCUUCGCUUACGAUCGGAAACGGAAUUCUUCUUGCAAAGUUGCCUGUACACUAAAAAGUUGCCAAUGACCCUGGAAGGAGACCAGGCGAUACCAUCGGUCCAGCGUUUUAUACCGGACUGAACCUCAUCAAAGACAAACACACUUCCCGAACGAAUGAGACGUUCGCGCUCACGAUCUUGGGGACGACGGUCGACAAAGUGUGUAUAGUUUUGACGACAAGCCUCAAAGAGCAAGAGUGCAUCGACAGUAGUGCCAAUGAAACCGACAAAUGUCGGUUGAAGAUUGCCAGGUUCGGUCAUGAAAAAGGAAAGAAACGAGGCAAAAGAAAAAGAAAUGUAUAAUAUGGAAUAAGUGAGAAGCAAUGGAUGCCAAAGAAAAGAAAGAAAAUAAAAACGAACAAUUACUAGAUCUUAAAUGGCAAGGCAAUGUUUCGAUAAACAACCCAAAAAGAAAAAAAAAUGAAAAACAAUAACAACAACAACAGAAAGGGGGUAAGAAAAACUCAAGAAACAGAAAGGAAGACGCUUGAGAGUAGAAGAAAAAACAAAAGGGAAAAAUGUCGUAAGAGAAACAACAAAGAAAUAUGAAAUGUACAGUAGAAAGUGAGAGAUCAAUCAAUCCACUAGGCGACACAAAAUCGUACCAGAAAAAAUCGAUCAAUCAAUCAAUCAAUGGAUGUUAAAGUAUUGAUUGGAUUGCAAGAGAGCGAAAGUCGAGUUCGAGUCAGUCAGUCAAUCCCACACACACAAACACUUACACACAGAUAGACAGGCGAGCAGAUGGAUGAGAUGAAGUGAAAGCGGUAGACUAACUACACCAGACCAACAAAUAGACAAAUCAAACCGAGAAAAACAAUUCAAUAAACAGACAAUGGCCCUUCAAUUCAAAAAGCAAACCAAUGUUCACCACCAACAACGAAUUUUGGAGCUUUGUGGGGAGAAGCUUUUUGACCACCAAAAGCGCAAAGCGAAAAAAAGCGAAAGCCGUUAAUGGGUCGCACUUUUUCAAGCAAUUGCGGAACAGCACCAAUCGGAUGGCAAUCAACUGAUUUGAAAGAAAAGAAAGUUGGCUUGUAAGAGGCAAACAACUCGUCCUUUGUUGAAAGAUGGCGAGUCUUGAGGAGAUGGUUUAGAGAGAAAGUUUUUCACCCGCAGCAGGAAGCUAAUACAUAAGUGUGAAUGCCAAGAACAAAUAUGCAAAUGUGUACUCCUCAUAGCAUGAAUUCGACUACAUUGUAAGGGGUAGAAAACCGCACCCAGCAAGCAACGGAAAACGUCAUGAAAAGAAUCGAUAGAAGGCGGUAUAUUCUUUCCUCCAGUGUGUAUGCUGACGGGUUAGGUAGUGCUGAGAGGUUAUUAGCGAGUUUCCGAUUGUCAAGCAUCAAUAAGAAGCAUUAACGGAGCCCGACCCGAUCCGCCCAGGUUCUGGCCAUGUUCGAAGAAAACGGGACAUUCAUCCCUAAUAAGCGGGGAGGGCCACCCCAUAAACAAGAAAAUCGCUAAAUGCCUAACAGAUGGAACGAUGACGCAAUCUGCGUUAUAGUGGAAAACAGGGCAUUACAGAAUAAGGAUCAGCAAGAGGCCAGGCGGGAAAGGCAAGACAAGCAGGAAGACAACAAGGUACGAAAGACAAAAGGAUUCUGGCGGCCGCUUAUGACGAAAGGACAAAAAAAGGGGGGAAAGGCGAGGAAGAGAGAGGUAAGAGGAUUUGAAGGAAAUGUGGGGGAAGGGAAGGGAGCAGCACCAAAAAUAAACAAAGAGAAAAGUAGCGCAAGCGAAAUCCAGUGCGAACAGAAAACAACAAAGUCCAAAUAAGGAAGAGAAUGAUCAAAAAAAAAAAAAAACCGCAUUGACAUAGAUAUUGACAUUAACAUUAACAUCGACAUCGGCAUUUAAUGAAAUAAAAUAAAAUAAAAAAGUAGAGUGGAAAAAAUAGCACAACAUUUCCCUAGCAGACAAGAAAGGACAGGAAAAGACAAACAAACAAAAACAAAACAAAACCAAACGAAACUAAAACGGCAAAGCUUGAAAAAGUUGCCUAGACACAAAACGUAAAUGUGCAAACAAGACCUACUCACGGAACUUCGCUCCUACAGAACAACAAGGUAGACAAAGAUGAACGUAAACAAAGGAAAAGGUGCGCGGAGACGAGCAACGUGCCCUGUCCAAAUCAACCAUCGAUGUAGCAACAGAUUUGCAAUUAUCAGUGGACAUCAAUAAUCAUGAAAUAAGAGAAAAAGAUGAAAAAGAAAGAGAAGAGUAAAAAAAAUUUAAAAAUUUUUUUUUUUCGUUUUGGAAAAUGAAAAAAAUUCAUUGCAAAAGUCAAUGCUAACAGAAAUUUUUCACGUACAUCAUUAUGCAAAGAAACGCAAUAAGAAGGCAAACUAUUUAAUGAAAAGAAGAUACAAUCACCUAAGAGAAAUAGACAACUAUCUAAUGAAAAAUGACAACCUGGUGAACAAAGACUUCUCCAUCUCAUCCAAACAACAUACUCGAAAACAUGCACUAAAACGAAUACGAACCGAUAGGGAUCGAACGAUAUGGAAAUAACCAUCCAACCAAAGAUCCUCAUCUUUCUCAUCCCUCUUUUCCCCUGACGGUGGGGUUGUUUGUUUGAUGAUGCACCUUUUUUUUGAGCCGCUAUUACUAUUAGGUGCAAACAACAACAACAACAACAAUUUUUUGCAAUUUGCAAUUUCUUCGGCGUUUCCGGACUUUGGACAAAAUUCUUUUCCCCAAGACUUGUUUCACCAUGUUUAAAAAAUGAUGCUCUCUAUUUUCGGUAGCAUUCGGUCAUAUUGCAAACUCAAUGCCUUUCCAUAUACUUUUAUUAGACUAGCCCUUCGAUCUAGCACCCAUCCAUCCACUACCACGUAUUUCCUACCUAAAUCUCAGACGAUCGCAUGACUCGUACGCAAACUUUCCUACUCUAUGUUUGGAUAAUGCUUGACUGUGGGACUUUGAAAAAUGUUACUUGUUCUCCAACAGUAAAGUCUCUCCAAUCUUCCCCACCUUUUGACUUAACGCCUAUUGCCUGUAUGAUACGUUACCCCGGGCCUCGAUCUUCAGAUAACCCUCAAUGAAACGAAAGCAAGCGGGCGAACAAAUAAAUGAGAGGAGGUGGUCUUUGGGUGACACCAAUCUUA